UACGUGGGGGGCAAGCGUUGUUCGGAAUUACUGGGCGUAAAGGGCUCGUAGGUGGCCAACUAAGUCAGACGUGAAAUCCCUCGGCUUAACCGGGGAACUGCGUCUGAUACUGGAUGGCUUGAGUUUGGGAGAGGGACGCGGAAUUCCAGGUGUAGCGGUGAAAUGCGUAGAUAUCUGGAGGAACACCGGUGGCGAAGGCGGCGUCCUGGACCAACACUGACACUGAGGAGCGAAAGCCAGGGGAGCAAACGGG
rnacentral:rRNA from 1 species